GACGAACGCUGGCGGCGUGCUUAACACAUGCAAGUCGAACGGAAAGGCCCUGCUUUUGUGGGGUGCUCGAGUGGCGAACGGGUGAGUAACACGUGAGUAACCUGCCCUUGACUUUGGGAUAACUUCAGGAAACUGGGGCUAAUACCGGAUAGGAGCUCCUGCUGCAUGGUGGGGGUUGGAAAGUUUCGGCGGUUGGGGAUGGACUCGCGGCUUAUCAGCUUGUUGGUGGGGUAGUGGCUUACCAAGGCUUUGACGGGUAGCCGGCCUGGGAGGGUGACCGGCCACAUUGGGACUGAGAUACGGCCCAGACUCCUACGGGAGGCAGCAGUGGGGAAUAGUGCACAAUGGGCGGAAGCCUGAUGCAGCAACGCCGCGUGCGGGAUGACGGCCUGCGGGUUGUAAACCGCUUUCGCCUGUGACGAAGCGUGAGUGACGGUAAUGUAUAAAGAAGCACCGGCUAACUACGUG
rnacentral:rRNA from 1 species